GCCCCGGUAGCUCAGUGGUAGAGCGCCCGGCUCGUAACCGGGAGGUCGCGGGUUCAAAUCCCGCCCGGGGCU
rnacentral:tRNA from 1 species